UCACGCAGGCGCGCUGAUUCUGACCCACGUGGCAUGACGUCCUGCUUGAUGUGUUCAGCAGCGAAUAGCAGUCUGUGAAGCCGUUUUAUAGAGUUACUAUUCAACAACAGAAGAGACAUGUCUCAGUUACAAACAAGGUUCUUUACGGAUAACAAAAAAUAUUCAGUCGAUGACGUCCCAUUCUCCAUCCCUGCUGCCUCAGAGGUGCAGGAACUCAGCAACGUCAUCAACAAGCUGCUGGAAGCAAAGAAUGACCUUGAUGACUACCUCCACAGUCACUACACUUGAUGCUUGUCCUCCAGACGUCUUCACUAAAUGGAAAGCUCCACCCCUACCACAUCUCAGCUGGACCUUUCUACACACUGACGCCACAUGGCCAAACUUCUGGCACUAACUGGAUAACUGUCCUAACAACACCCUAUCAGGGAGAACCUCAUGGCACAGCAUCGGGGCCAGACUCUCCUGCCUCCAGCCACUAUCUAGCACAGCAUCAGGGCCAGACUCUCCUGCCUCCAGCCACUAUAUAGCACAGCAUCGGGCCAGACUCUCCUGCCUCCAGCCACUAUAUAGCACAGCAUCGGGGCCAGACUCUCCUGCCUCCAGCCACUAUAUAGCACAGCAUCGGGGCCAGACUCUCCACCCUCCAGCCACUAUAUAGCACAGCAUCGGGGCCAGACUCUCCACCCUCCAGCCACUAUAUAGCACAGCAUCGGGGCCAGACUCUCCUGCCUCCAGCCACUAUCUAGCACAGCAUCAGGGCCAGACUCUCCUGCCUCCAGCCACUAUAUAGCACAGCAUCGGGGCCAGACUCUCCUGCCUCCAGCCACUAUAUAGCACAGCAUCGGGGCCAGACUCUCCACCCUCCAGCCACUA